UGUUAAGUUCUUAUAUUGGGAUUGGAGAUGGGAUUACCAUUAGAGCUUCAUUUGAUAUACUCUAGGUAGAUGGGAUCUUAUCUCUGUAUGCAUAGCUUGGGACUUACCUUUAGCAUUCUACUAAAGCUUAAUCAUUUUUUGAGAGAUCCUCUGUUACUGAAGCCUAUUCUGUAAGGGACCAUCUUUGUCUCUUGACCUUUUACCUUAGGCAAAUGAGUUCAUUGAUGAUGCAUUGCUUGAUUCACGUUCCAGAACUAAUGAAUGUUAAAGGGAUUGAUAGAUUUGAAAACAUGUGUAGGUCGAGCAUAUGAGUCGGAUUGAUUGAUAAUAAGGCAUGGCUAAUGUUUUUGAGUAGGAUUCGAUCAUAUUGCAGCUUAGAACUUUCAACUUGGACAUUGAUUUCAUCUUGUU
rnacentral:sRNA from 1 species